GACGAACGCUGGCGGCGUGCUUAACACAUGCAAGUCGAACGGAGUGGCGAACGGGUGAGUAACACGUGGGUGACCUGCCCGGCACUUCGGGAUAAGCCUGGGAAACUGGGUCUAAUACCGGAUAGUGUGGGAUGGGCCCGGGGCCGAUCAGCUUGUUGGGGGGGUAAGGGCCUACCACGGCGGCGACGGGUAGCCGGCCUGAGAGGGUGGACGGCCACAGUGGGGAUGAGGCACGGCACAGAGUCGUACGGGAGGCAGCCGUGGGGAAUAUGGCACAAUGGGCGGAAGCAUGAUGCAGCGACGCCGCGUGGGGGAUGACGGCCUUCGGGUUGUAAACUCCUUUCACCAUCGACGCGGUAGAUGGAGAAGAAGCACCGGCUAACUCCGUGCCAGCAGCCGCGGUAAUAC
rnacentral:rRNA from 1 species